GACGAACGCUGGCGGCGUGCUUAACACAUGCAAGUCGAACGGAAAGGCCCUGCUUUUGUGGGGUGCUCGAGUGGCGAACGGGUGAGUAACACGUGAGUAACCUGCCCUUGACUUUGGGAUAACUUCAGGAAACUGGGGCUAAUACCGGAAAGGAGCUCCUGCUGCAUGGUGGGGGUUGGAAAGUUUCGGCGGUUGGGGAUGGACUCGCGGCUUAUCAGCUUGUUGGUGGGGUAGUGGCUUACCAAGGCUUUGACGGGUAGCCGGCCUGAGAGGGUGACCGGCCACAUUGGGACUGAGAUACGGCCCAGACUCCUACGGGAGGCAGCAGUGGGGAAUAUUGCACAAUGGGCGGAAGCCUGAUGCAGCAACGCCGCGUGCGGGAUGACGGCCUUCGGGUUGUAAACCGCUUUCGCCUGUGACGAAGCGUGAGUGACGGUAAUGUGUAAAGAAGCACCGGCUAACUACGUG
rnacentral:rRNA from 1 species